rnacentral:rRNA from 1 species
UACGGAGGGUGCGAGCGUUGUCCGGAAUCAUUGGGCGUAAAGGGCGCGUAGGUGGCCCAGUAAGCGUGCGGUGAAAGCUCGGGCUCAACCCGGGUCGGCCGUGCGAACUAUUGGGCUGGAGCACUGUAGAGGCAGGCGGAAUUCCGGGUGUAGCGGUGGAAUGCGUAGAGAUCCGGAAGAACACCGGUGGCGAAGGCGACUCUUUGGCCUGUAACUGACGCUGAGGCGCGAAAGCUAGGGGAGCGAACGGG